AACACCUGAAAGGAAGGUACAUAUGUUAGAGAGGGGAAGUGAAAAUUAUCUCAAUGGGAAAAGUUUUGAUAAUAUUAUCAAGCAAAAAUUGUGUGGGGAGGAGUAAAGCACCAAAGGAGCUAAUGACAUGUGUCCAUUGUGGAGGAUAUAGUAUAUGUAAUUCCAAAGUCUAGUGGUAGAAAUUUAAUUUUUUCCCUCUAGUAUGCUCUUUUAGACAUCAGGUGAUAAUGGAAGCAUAGGAAGAUUCUGACGUCUGAAAGUAAAAGGACAAAGAAGAAAUGGCAUGAUACUGGCGGGACAAAUAAGACAUGACUCAAAUACUUUUUCCUGAGGGUCUCACUCACCUCUGUCGGAAGUCUCCAUAGAGGAUGCGGUUGGGAAAUCCUUUCCUGCAGAUUCGGAUCCCCUCAAGCACUCCAUUACAGCGUAGCUGGUGCAUAACCAGGGGGUUGUCCAUCACACCUGUGAACAGGAGAGGAGGAAGAAAAGAUACAUAAAUGAAGGGCUAGUGAACCUGAGUAAGUUAUGGAAAAUCUAUGAUAGUGGAAAACAUGUGAUUUGGAGGAGAAUGAUGGUACAGAUACAGAAUAGAGAUCCCUUUCUCUAGGAUAUCCCUCCAGGAUAAUAGUUGGGAAAGUGUGUCACCAAAGGAUUGUUCUGGGGCAGAAAAUGCCCAGAAAUGGACUGAGUCGUCCUGGAGGUGCGGUCUCACCUGGAGACUUGGUCUCAUUGGGAAUGAUGCAACGCACAAAGUGGGGAUGAGUAGAACGGAGGUUGGUCAUAAGUUUGUUCAGGUUCUCCUGAUAUCAGAAAAGAAGGAAGAAGAGGAGGGGAAAAUGAGGGAAAAAAAGAGAGAAUGAAGGGAAAGGUGAGAGAAGAGGAACUAUAAGUAGAGAAGGGGAUUGGAGACAAAAAAAUAGGAGAAAGAAAAUGAUGGAAGCAAGAGGUAGAGCAAAAAAUACUGAAAGACAAAGCAGACAAGUAUGGAGGGAAGAGGGAGGAAAAAGGGAAAGAAAAAAAAGAUAAAAGGACAGGAGAGAAGGGUUGAAAUCUCAGGGAAGGGCCAUGCAUCUGAUGUGGACUGAGGAAGGGGGCACUCACCCGAUGCAGGGCAGACACUGUCUGGAAGGAAGAGCCUUUCUUGGCUUUGCCUUUGCCCUUCUCAACAGCUAUAGAGAUGACCAAAAAGGAAAACUGUUAGUCUUAUCAUGAGGACAAGGGCAGGGCCAUGGGCAGGGAAUGAGGAACACUGACCAUUUCUUGCAGCUCUACCACACAGGUAGCCUAUUGGAUUACCAGCUCCACAAAAAAGUCAAAUGCUGAUAUCUUGGUGUUUUUAUCUCAUCCCUCCUUCCCACUAGAUACAUGAAUCUCAGGCAAUAACUUAACGUUGGGAUUUCUACAACAACCCUUUAUUUCUAUAGUCAAGGGUUCUUCUUAGGUUCCACUGACUAGUCCUCUAGGAAACCAUAUUUCCCACUCUUCUUACGUGCAUCAGCUCCAGCAUAGUUAGCAAAGAGAUUGCUGAGCAGCUUGAGGGAAGACUUCUGGUAGAGUCCCACCACGGUCUCGUUGAGUGGGUCCUUGUUCUUUUGCAGCCAGCCUAGGAUGUUAUAGUCCACAGUGCCAGCAUAGUGUAUUAGGGAGAAGUGGGCUUCCUGCUUCCCUUUGAUGUUGCGGGGUUUCUGGAAGUUGUUGGACUUUCCCAAGUGGUUGUCAUAGAGUUUGGCCUUGAAGGUCAUAUCAGUAGCCUUGGGGAACAUACACUCUUCCUCUAGGAUGGACAUUAUGCCCAUGGGCUGUGGAAAAGGAAGAAAGGAAAUGAGGCAAGGAAGAAGGAAAAGAAAUAUCACUAAGGGAUGGUGGGAGGUAAAAUUCUGGUGUAAUGGUGAAUAUUGAAUAGUAUUGGUACAGACUUUCUAGAGGGAGGGAGAUCUUAGUCUGUAGGAAACAGUGUAUUAAAGUGGAAAGCAAUGAACAUGGAGUUGGGCACUUUGGUUUGAAUCCUGGAUCUGCUCCUUAUUACCCAUUUCACCUUGAACAAUUCAUCUAAUUUCCCUGGACCUCAGUUUCCUCAUCUGUGAAAAGAAACUUGGAUGAUGGCCUCUAAAGUCUCUUCUUAUUCUAAAUAUUGAUAUCAUAUAAAAGUCUGAGAAUGUGGCAGCUGGCUAUUAAAUUUUCAUUGUCAUCAUUGUCAUCGCCACUAUUUUUUUGCCAUUAUUAUUUCCUUCAAAUUCUUGAGCUUGAGCUUGAGAGGUUAAAAGUGUGAACUGCCCUCCCUGUUCCCUGCUUCGCCUCCAAAUUUCCUAUUUUGUCAAUGACUAGAAAUCUGAACAGCUGGAUAUACUAGAUCAAUGGUAUGGGGAACGGGAUACCCUGAUGGAGAGAAAUGGUUGGAGAGGGACUGAGACUAUAGGUCCUGGAGAAGAGAAGGGAUUCUUUUGGUCCUAAUAAUUCCAGAAGGGUCUGAAAGAGAAGGUCUGAGGAGAAGGAGACAGGAUGCUGUGAUUCUGACUUCUUGUCCUUAGACUACAUUUUCUGACAUGGACAUGAUGCUGUCCCUCAGUUUGAGGGCCUGGGUCCAGGGGGAAGAGACUGGGCACCUUCUCAAUGAGAUCAAUGCAGGCCUGCAGGUCCAUGCCAAAGUCAAUGAACUCCCACUCAAUGCCUUCUUUCUUGUACUCCUCUUGCUCUAGCACAAACAUGUGGUGAUUGAAGAACUGUUGUAGUUUCUCAUUGGUGAAGUUGAUGCAGAGCUGCUCAAAGCUGUUGAACUGGGGUGAAAGGGAGAGAGUGGGACAGGUCAGUCACUCAGUCAAUCAGUAAACGUGGCAUAUAUGUGUAACAAGCAAGACCCUGGUCUCAGUAGAUUAGAGGAAUGGUUUUUAUUGGUCUGUUGGAAAGUGGGAGGGGCUAAAAUUAUUAAAGCCAGAUUAUGGAGGACUCACUGUUUUAGAAAGAGCCAUUCUUUUAAAAACAAACAAACAAAUCUUAUCUUCUGUCUUAGAACCAAUACCAAAUAUUUGGUUCUAAGACAGAAGAAUGGUAAGGACUAGGCAAUUGGGAUUAAGUGACUUGCUGGGUCACACAGUUGGAAGUGUUGAAGGUCAGAUUUGAACCCAGGACUUUCCUGUCUCCAUGCCUGGCCCACAAUCCAUUGAGCCACCUAGCUGCCCCCCAAGAGCUGUUGUUCUCUUCAAUAUCUCCUAUCUUCUUUGGCACCUGAUGACACCAAGUAUUAUCCAUCUUUCCCAUGGCUGAGGAAAGGCAGCAUAGUUAGUCAAACCAGGCUCCCCUCACUCACAUCAAAGAUCUCAAAGCCAGCAAUGUCGAGGACACCAAUGAAGUACUGGCGUGGCUGCUUGGUCUCCAGUGUGGCAUUGAUCCUUGUCACCAUCCAGUUGAACAUCUUCUCGUAGACGGACUUGGCAAGAGCACCGAUGGCAUAUGACACCUGGAGGUAGGAGGGGGACACCCAUGGUCAGGGGAAAGAGAGCAGGUAGAAUUCAGGGUCAAGACUUUGAGAAAUCAAAGAAUGGAUAGCCCAUCCCAUCCCACUCUUCCUACCACCCGGAGGAGGGCGCUCACCUGCUGGACAUUCUGCCCCUUGGUGACAUACUCGUUGCCCACCUUCACCCUUGGGUGGCACAGCCCCUUCAGGAGGUCAGCCGAGUUCAGGCCCAUGAGGUAGGCGGAUUUGUCAGCCUCUGGAAAGGCAGACAGGGAAGAUGGUGACUAGAUACCAGUGAGAGAACAGACUUACUUUUGGAUCAAUUAGGUUGUUUAUCAAAAAGUAUAGCUAAUAUAAUAGUUGUUUUUUAUGUAACUUUAAAAUUUGAAAAAUACUUUACAAAUAUGAUUUCAUGUUAUCCUCACAACAACCCUAAGAGGAGGAUGCUAUUAUUAUCUCCAUUUUACAAAUGAGGAAACCAUGGCUGAUAGAGGUCAAGUAAAUGACUUGCCCAGGGUUACCCAGCUAGUAAAUGUCUGAGGCUGGAUUUGAACUCAGGUCCAACAUUCUAUCCUCUGAGCCACCUAACUGCCACUAUAUUAGAUAGUGGGGAUACAAAGACAAGGAAGAAACAGACUUUGCCCUCAAGGAGUCCACAUUCUUUGGGAGGAGAUCAAUGCUUAAACAGAUUUAGACGAGGGCACCACAGAUGUGGAGCUCAGGAAUGGCUUGGGAUGGAAGUGGCUCUUAGGUUGAGUCUUGGAGGAAAUGAAGGAUUCUAAGAGUAUGCAGUGUAUUUCAGCCAUGGGGGGCAGAUAGCCCCAGUAAAAGUGGUGGGAGGAAACAUCUCCUGUUUGAGGAACAGUCAGAAUGUUGGCUUGGUUGGUCUUAGAAGGGAGUGAAGGGAAAUAACAGCUAAUCCAUCUGGAGAGGUAAAUGACAAACUAGGGAAUUCAUUUUUGAUUCUAGGGGUAACAGGCAAGUGUUCGAAUCUAUUGAAUAGGAGUUGAUGCGGCCAGACCUGCCAUUUAGGAAAAGCUUGUGGGCACAGCAAAGAGGAUGGAUUGGAGUGGGGAGAGACUUGAGCCAAGGUUAAUCUAGUCCAGGCUGCCCCUCUUCUUACCUUCAGUGCCAUCAGGUUCAGCCUGCUCUUCUCUUUGCUUCUGCUUAAACUUCAUGUUCCCAAAGUGCAUAAUGGCCCCUGUUAGCUUGUAGAUGGAGUUCUUCUCUUCAGGAGUGAAGCCCAGCACAUCAAAGGCACUCUGUGAACAGGCAUAAGGUUGGACACUGCUCAAAAGCAGGUUGGUUGUGUGACCCUGAGCAAGUCACUUAACCCCCAUUGCCUAGCCCUUACCAUUCUUCUGCCUUGGAACCAAGUAUCGAUUCUUAGCCAGAAGGUAAGAGUUAAAAAAAAAAGACCAUAGGACAAACCUGAUUUUUUUUUCAGCUGUGUCUAAUUCUUUUAGACCCCAUUUGGGAUUUUCUUAAUAAAGACACUGGAGUGAUUUGCCAUUUCCUUCUCUAGAUCAUUUUACAAAUGAGGAAACUAAAGCAAACAGGUUUAAGUGACUUGCCCAGGGUCAUACAACAAUUAAGUAUCUGAGGCUGGAUUUGAAUUUAGGUCUCCUGACUCCAGGCCUGGAGUUCUAUCCCCUGCACUACCUGCCUAACUAACUACCCUGAAACCUAAUUUAACUCAUGAUAAUAACAGCUAACAUUUAUGUAGCACUCUAAGGUUUGCAAACCACUUUAUGUUAACAUAUUUGGUCCUUACAACAACCUGGGAGAUAUGUGCAAUUAUUCUCUCCAUUUUACAGAUGAGAAAACUGAGGGAGACAGAUCACAAAUAACCUUAUCCAAAUCAGCCCAACGGAGUAGAGGAAUCCAUCUUUCCAAAGAAGUAAAUGAGAUAGCACUGAGCCCAGAGAAUAGACACAGAAGACACCCAUGGAGGGAACCGCAUGCUGCCCGAGAGCCCGGACGUACCCAACAG